rnacentral:lncRNA from 1 species
CUGGUAUGUUGGGACAUAAGCUGGUUGAAGUUGGGAAAAUUGGGAGUUGGUGGAGCAAAUUAUCUAGGCAGGUUUUGACAGAAUUGACUUCACUGUGGGUUCAGCUUUCAAGGAAUCACUAAACCUAGGGGGAAAUGGGGAAUUGCAGGCCCUAGUCAAGGCAGAGAGUAGACCAAGAGGGACAUCACCUGUGAUGGUCAAUAUUAUGUGUCAACUUGACUGACCUAAGGGAUGCCCAGAUAGCUGAUAUUACAUUAUUUCUGUGAGAAUGUUUUGGAUAAGAUUAGCAUUCAAAUCUUUUUUGUAAGUAAAGAUCUCCCUCACUAAUAUGAAUAGGCAUCUGUCAAUCUGUUGGGGAGGGGUGGUUAGGAUGAAUAGAACAAAGAAGCAGGAAAGGUAAAUUCUCUCUGCUUGAACUGGGACAUCCAUCUUCUGCCUUCCGGCAUCAUUGAUCCUGGUUCUUGGGUCUUUGGACUUAUACUGGGACUUACACUGUCAGUUUCCUUAGUUCUCAGGCCUUUAGACUUGGACUAAAUUAUAGCACCAGCUUUCCUGGUUCUCCAGCGUGAAGACGGCAGAUUGUGGAACUUCUCAGCCUUCGUAAUCAUGUAAGCCAAUUUCUAUAACAAAUUUUCUAUCUAUUGAUCUACCUAUUGAUCUAUCUAUCUACCCUCUUUCUCUUUAUUCAUCUCUCUUAUUGUUCUGUUUCUCUGAAGAACUCUAGCUAAUACACCAACAGAGGAGGGAAAUGUGCCAAAAGGUGGUUGGAACACAGGGGCAGGCAACAUCCAGGGUGUCCUGUCAACAAAUGGCAGUAGCUUGGGCCCAGGGAGGAAGAGCUGUGAGAACAAGGCUGGACACCCAUCCAGGCAGAGGUGACAGUGUGGGAUAUAAGGUCUCCCAAGUCAUAGACUUCCCAUGAACACCCUGGUGUCUCAAAGUCACAAAGAAAGAAAUGUUUAGACAAGGUUAGAAGCUCAUUAAUCAGGAAUCACAAUACAAUGAUGUAAAUUGUGAAACAUAAGCCUGGGAUUAUUCAUUUUGUAGAAAAAUCUAUUCAUUUUGUAGAAGUAUGGGAGAAUUUUCACCAACCUAAAAAUUAAGAACAAAGAAGCCCGGAAGGGACGUUGUCAUGGACAGUCAUGCCACCACUACAGGCUUGCUCCCAGCCUGAAGGCACCGGAGCUACAUAUCAGGAACAGGGCUGAGGGAGGCCUGGUUACAGGAGCAAGCUUUCAGUGGUGGUGGUGGGGUGGGGGAAGGUAUGGCUGGGAGAGUUCAGAGCUCAGCUACAAUGAUAGCUCACUGUGUGCCAGACACUGUGUGAAGACCAUGAGGAUUUUUACAAAUGGGACUCCAUUAUUUUAGCUUGCUUGCUUGCUUCCUCCCUCCCCUCCCCUCUCCACCUGUCCCCCCUUCUACAAAUGAAACUGUAACACAGAGAAGAAAACCAGCUUUCCAAGGUCACACCACUGGCAGGUAGAGAGCUGAUCCAUGAGAGAGUCUGGUCUCCUCAGCACUGUGCAGCUCACCUGAUCGGAGAUGUCUCAUCUCAGAUGUCUCAUCUGAGUCAGACCCUGCUGGGGGGUUGGGGUGGGGAGGGGGCUGCUCUGCACCAAAUCAUUGCCUUCCGCAUUCUAGACACUCUUGUUUAUUGAUUCAUCCUGAGAUCAACUUACUGUUUAGGGAGUUCAACCACAGUGCUGUGUUGAUGUUAUUAACUUGUAAUUGGCUCCUAAACUGUCUUUUUAUUUUGUACCCAAAUGUAGAUCUUUAUAUUGUAGAUUUUACUUAAAGUCAUCUUACUGUCUUUAGCCUAUUGCUCUAGCCUGUCAAGAUCUCUUUAAAUCCUUACGAACAGCAAAUUCUUCUUUUUUUUAAUUUUCUUUUUUAAAUUCAAUACAACAUGAAACAAAAACCACAACUCUUCUAAAAGCCCUCCUGUUCCCGAAAGCUCUGACACAUUCAGCAAAGAUCUAUUCCUCCGUGUCUGUCUGUGCAGUGUUUAUUUUCUGCUUUGCCGAUUCGUGGAGUAUAACUGUACCCAAAUGUGCCUUUAGACAGCAAACUCUUGGGGGCAAGGGCUCUGCUCUUUGUUUUGGCACAUGCUACCUAUUAUAGAGCUCAGUGUACACCUGGGGCUCUAGAUAAAUAUAACAAUCCAGGAGUAUUUCUCACUUGGAAAGCUGCAUGGGCUCUUACAGGCAGCCUGUUAGCUUUCUUUAAAGAACAUCCAAGUGACCGAUUUCACCUUGACAUUGAAGGUGCCCAUCUCUCUGCACCUGUUCCACCUGCUACCCGGCUGGUCUCUGCUUCUUUAUUGUUUGUGGCUUCUGUGCUGCCCCUAGGAGCCAUUCCCGGGAAGGAGCACUUGGGCUUGCAGAUGAUGCUUGCCUUUAUGAAUGCUUUGAUUCUGACCCCAGUCACACACCCUCCUCUUUUCCACGCCUCAACAUAAAACCCUCCCUUCCCUGCCCCACUUUUGUGCUGAAGUGUGGAUCCCACAUGACUUCCAGAGGACGAAAGCCAGAGCAAGAAGAGGUAAAGAGGUGGGAGGGGAUAGAUACUUGAUUUUUGGCAGUAAAACAACUAACCAAAGCCUGACUUUCACAGAUUGUAGUAAAAAAGACUUUGAUUUUGGUUUAUUUCAGUUUCUUCAUCAUAGAAGAGGGUAGGGGGGAGGGGAUUGCAUCUUUUGUGGGCUUUGAGAAGAAUAAUUUAAAUAUGGCUAACAUAUAUGUAAUUGUCUGCAAAAUAUACAAAGAAAGGAAUGCCAGGUGACAUGAAUGAUUUGAAAGCAAAGUUGUCUGCUUUGAUUAUAGCCAGAUAAAAUCACUGUCUUUCUCUCAAAGGGCACUUUUACCAACAAUGAAAGUGGGUCUUGAGGGGUCAGUUGAGAGAUGUCUUAUGCCCAUGCAUCAACUCUAUUUUCUCUCAGAUUUUGAGCAAAUAAUUUAAUCCACCAACCUCUGCCCCAGGCUGCUGUCACAUAAGGAGUGGUUGUUUUUAAACAGGUUUCAAGGUCUUAGAUUACCGAACUUAAUCUCAUGCCUUUCUGACCCUUUUGGCAAGCCAAAUCCACGCUUAAUUUCUCUAUCAAAUGGUCCUUUUCAACAGGCCUUUUAUCAUGAAUCCAUCUCAUUUACUCACCUCUAAAGUAGUCAGGCAAUAAACUAUGGAAGAAAACUCCUAUGCUAUCCUUUAGGGUCUGACAUACCUCUAUAACUUUUAUUACAUUCUUGCUCCAGGAAGUUAUUUUAUUUCUGAUUUCAAAAUUCUGCCACAGAGUCUUUAUCUUGUUUUCAAAUUAAACCAGUCCUGUGAACUAAUUUCUUGGUCAAGAUCUAUAAGAUGGACAUAGUCCAGCUCAGUUUAACGAGUUCACAUCUGACUGUUGACUAUUUUCCCACCCAAAGUUUCUUCUGAUCUAAAUUUGUAAUUAUGCUGAGGGGAGGGGAAAUUACUUUUAUGAUGUUGGAGGAAAAGAGAAGCCACAUCCGCUUUCUCUUCUGCUGAUGUUCUUGUAGUCUGUCCUCCUACCCUGGAUGACUCAUGGAAGAAUCACUCCACGAGGCAACCACCCCUCUUCUUGCACUACCAGUGUCUACCCUCUCCUUCUCUCUUUGGGGAUUCCUCCCCAGGCAGGCUCUUAGGAUUUCUCAUUGACUCAUCCUUGCUGUGGGUCCAUGGGAUCCUUGCAGGUCUCUAUGCCUGGCUCGUGGCUGAUGAUGGUGGUCAGAGCCAUGUGUCAUGUCUUUAUGUCUAUACCACCCAUAGUCCCACUCUGGUUUCCCUCAAAUCUCACAGGGCUGGAUAUGUUUGCAGACUGCUACUCUCCAACUCCAUCUGAAAACUAUAUCAGCAGUCUUUUUUCUCCUUCUGCUCCUCCAUCUUCUUCUGUUAGACUUUGCACAACAUCACAGGAAAUUCUCUGAUGCCCCUUCCUCAAGUCCCUAGUAGGGCCAGAAGUGGAAAGGAGUAAAAAACUCCUCCACUGCUCAUUUCUAAAAAAAUAUUUUUAUUUUAGUUGGAUUUCUAUGAAUCACCUCACAUGCUCAAACCUGUCAGAAUGGCAGCAGAAGUAAGGGAUGGUGUGAGAUAGAGACCCGCUUCCCUUGCUUUAAAACUAUGCAUUCUGCUACUGAGUCUUUAGCUUGUUUUCAAAUUAAAGAAGAAAUCGAUUUCUUCUUUCUCAUAUCUGGGGCCUUUUACCUCAAAGUCAAGACAGACAUUUCUUCUUCCUGUUUCUUUAAAUAUAUGAUUCUAUUGCUUUGUUCUAGAAAACCUGAAAGCAAGAUGAUACUCUUUCUCUAAUGCCAGGUCAAACCAUUCUGAGUCUAGGGUGAGACAUGUAUGAGGUGUUAGCAUGGAGAUCUUUGGGUCAAGACCACAUGGCACACAGGGACAUGGUUUAUCUCACUUAUAUAUUAUCAGUGGAAAAUAUAGUAUUCCAAGAUGGCUUUCUCUACUAUGUAGAAUAAGCUUGUCCUCUUUUCCCUGUGUCAGUUGGUGUGUGGUAAAGGAAUUAAAUUUAAUCCCCCUUUUCAUGACAAUCCACCCAGCCCCUCCACAGCCAUUCUCUAGAUGGUAGGCAAAGGAAUCUAGAAUGUAAAACUGGCCGAGCCAAGUCACCCUUCCACUGAAAACUCUUCAAAUCUUCCCGCUGUUCUCAAAAUAUAUAAAAAUCUCUUCUCUCUGGCAUCAAGGUCUCAUGUGGUCUGGCCUCUACUAGUUUCACUCAGCAACCUCUUACUGCAGCUUUCUCUUCUCUUCCACCCUGUUUUUUUUUUUUUUUUCUCGCUCUCUCCUACUUGAUCCUUCUAAGCACAUGGCCCUUGUAAAUGGUGUUUCAUUUGCUCAAAGCACUUCUUUCCCUUUCAGACUUGUUGCAGUCUCAGUCCUGUGUGAUGUCUGAUGCCUGAGUUUCAUACUGAAUUUUGAGCUCAGUGUGCCAGUUCUGCUGAUGAUAACUGUACCACCAGGACCCACUGAGUGCCUGACACAUGGCAGACUAGGAUUCAGAGAAUGACUGCAUGAGUGAAUGAACGAAUCCAGGAAAAGGUGCCAUUCAACCUGAAUCCUGAUGGAUGAAAUAGGAGUUCAUCAUAGGGUUCAGAAGAAGGCAACAAUACAAAUAACUUGGAUAAAGGACUGGGGUAAAUUGGUACAUCCUAAAACUAAGUGAGGAUGCUGGGAGGAACAUGGUUUUUCUCAGGAGGCUAGGAAUGAGGCUGGGCAUGUUUUCUGGGACAGACUGUGAAAGGCUUUGUAUUUCUUGUUGGUAAAUUGAGACUUUUUCCCAAAGGAAUGGACCCACUAAAUGUUUUGGAGCAAGAGACUAACAUACUAUGAUAAGAAUUCAGCUUGUGUGACACUGUGAGAAAGGAGUGGAACACAGGGAGCCCAGUGAGGAAGGUGCUGCUGAAGUGUAGGGAAGAGAUGAUAGAGUUUAUACCCAAGGAGGUAGCUGUGAGGAUGUAGAAGAAAUUAGGGAAUUCACAAGGCUUGGCCAUUAACCAGGGAAUGUUAAUUGAGGGAGGAAGCACAAAGAAAUAACAGCUGCACUCUGAGGACAACUUGUGUAAGAGAUGUCCAAUAAUCUACAAGGUCCUUCGAUUUAACACCAGAAUGGGAAACACAGUUAACUGUGGGAGAGAGAAGGGGGAAGGGAGGGAGAAAGGGGAUGAGAGAAGGAGAAGGACUGAGAAUGGGCACACAAGACAAUAGUUUGUGGGAAGGAAAACAUGGAAAUUCUAAAGUACAACUCGACAAUGGAGGUUGCUACAUGCUUCCUCUGCUGUUUGAGACCCAGUAGUAACUCUUGCCCACCUAGAACAUCCUAACCCAGCGAUUUCUGGAUAUAGUGCCUGCCUCCAUGUGUCUCUUUGAGAGUCUGGCUUUGGUAGUGGGGAGUUGCUCUGACUGCUGGUAGCAUGAAGAGACUACUUGGUGUCCUCAAUGAUGCUUCCUGAAUAUUCUCUUUGCUUUGAUAAUUUGAAAUGAAAUCAUAUUAUUCUUAGGAUUUUGGGGGGAAAUCACUUGGAGUAGUUUAGUUACUCAUUGGAUGGCUGACUUGUGACUAACAUCUAGAGGGAAAAAAGCAGAAGGAUAAAUACAUGGCACAUAAUCUUGACUCAGAAUUUAAUCUAAUCCAGGGAUUUUGGAAAGGGAAAGGCUCUGCCAGUUAGAACUGAAACUGGUGUAAAAGGCAUGCAGGUAUGAAAUGUACCUUUGGAAAUGUGUAAUGGGAUCCUGCUAUGCUCUACAUAUGAAGUAUACUCCAAACACUUGUGUAUUGAAGACUUGGGUCCCAAUAUAGCCAUGUUUAGAGGUGGGGAACUUGGGAAAUUAUUGGAUCAUGAGGCCUCUGACCUCAUCAGUGGGUUAAUACAUUGACUGCUGAAUGGACAACCAGGAGGCAGUGGAAAUAUAGAAGACAGGACCUAGUUGAAGGAAGUAGGUCCCUGGGAUUGUGCUCUGCAAGGUUAUUUUCUGCUUCCCCAAUCCCUGCUUCCUGGCUGCCAUGAACUGAGAAGCUUUCCUCGGCCAUGUCCUUUAGCCAUGUCCUUUAACUGCACCUCUAGCCCAAAGCAAUGAAGCUGGCUGACCAUGGACUGACAUGUCUUUCAUCUGUGAGCCAAAGUAAACCUUUCCUCUUUUAAGUUGUUUGUGUCAGGAAUUUUGGUUACAGAGAUGAAAAGCUGACCAAUGCAGAUUCCAAAGAGUGAGAUCAUAGGCUGACCACACGGGGACCAAGUCUUUUAAACUCAUGAAGGACUGAGCCAUGAUUUCACUUUAUUCAUUUCUCAGGUCUCAACCUUGUUUUGACUCUCAAAGUUACAUUGUUACUCAAAAGUGGAAAUUAUCAAAGUUUAAGACUAUGAUGGAGGACUAUAAUCAGAGGACUCGUGAAGAAAAAAAUUUCAAAACUGAAAAAAUUGUCUUUAAAGUCUUUGUUUUAUAUCCAAACAUUAUAUAAUAAGCAAAUCUCAGUUUUAAGUUAAAUAAAAUAAUUAUAGUGCAUGUAUGUGUAUAUAUAUUUCAUAGAUAUACAUAUAUUUAAUUUUUUAAAUAAUUUCAAUGGCGUUUUGAUCAACCAACGGAUGUCUGGUUCCAGUUAUAUGUUUUUAUAGGGCAGUAUCAAAUUGAAAACUGCAUAUUUAACCUUUGUAAUCAAACUUGUGUGGGACAGGGAUGUGGGAGCCCAGUUGACCGAGGCAAUAGUAGACUGUGCUCUUCCUUAUCAAGUUCAUUUUAGAGCUCUGCUCAUUGAUUGAGAUUGAGUGGAAUGGUUUAAAUAAUGGUUACAAAAUUUAAACUAUUUUUUCUCUUGUGCUCAUGCGUACUCUUAUUCUCUGUCUUUUGCUCAGAUUUUAGAGUCAAAUUUGCAUUAAUUAAGUGCACAUUUACACUUUAUUGUUAUCUCCUCUUCACAGAUGAUGAAAUUGAAUCUUUGAACAUUUGAGAAACUUGACAGCUUCUCCAAGCUUUCACAUCUGAGCUUUUGAAAGAAAGCCCUGGGGAAUGUUUAGGCUUGAGACUGAGGCUGGGAGGGUUUUUUCUGCCUUUGUUUUUCAUCCAUUACAACCCAACUAUUUGCUCAAACUUGAAGUAUAGUAAUCAUUCUUGAUUUCCCCCUUUUCACCCUCCAUGUAGUAAAUAUUUAAAAUCUAUUCAUUUCCUUAGUCUAAGUUUCCAAUCAUCUUUCACAUGGAUAUUAAAUGUAAGAAUAUGAUAAUAGCAAAUGUAUGCAUGUAUAUAAAGCAUUUACCACAUGCCCAGUACUGUACUUAGAAUUUAGAACCUUAUCUAUAUUAACUAUAGGUAAUAUAUUUAAUUCUCACAGUUACCUCUUGAGUUUCUCACUUUAAAACAGAGUUAUACUUGGAAUAGAAGCAAUAGAUGAUGAAUAGCAUCCUAUUUGAUUCUCCUACUUUAUUUUCAUCUUUUCCAGUUCUCCACAAUGUAGUGUUCUCCCCCCCCCCACCACACACACCCCUUACUAUAUUUUUCAAAGAGAAUUAAAAUCUUUUCCUCUCUUCCUGGUAUUUCACUUUCAAGUUGGAAGCAUAUAACCUGUUCCCCUUUCCCGUGGGAUCUUAACUAUAUUAGAAGAGUAACUGAUGAAAAACAGAUGGUAGAAGUUGGAUACUAAGGCCCUCUUUGCACCAGUUCCUUCUUGGUGCUUUUGACAGACUAUGUCCCACAUUUGAUUGCAGCAAUAUCUCCUAUCCCACAUGCUCCUCUCUCAAUAUUAUGUUCUGAGAGGAAGGGUCCAUAUUUCUUUCUCUUAAAUCUGAGUGGGGUCAUACUUAUGGUCACUAUAUUAUAGGAUUUCUGAGGCUAGGUCAUUAAAUCUAUCUUUUCCAUAGAUCAUGGGAAUACUUGCUCUGGAUCCUUAAGCAAUCAAAAUGACCUGAGGCCAAUGUGCUGCGUGGAAACUGACCUAGCCUUGGUGAAGAGGCCACAUGGAGAAGCCUUGAGACUGCAUGAAUCCAAAGAUGCCCAGCUACCUCUGUUUCAGCCAACCUGUGACUAUAAACUCAGGAGUGACCUUGAGGUGAUACAAGCAUCUAAGGACUUUCAAAAUAAUGAUCCAGAGAGACUAUGAGAUAUAAUAAAAUAAUUACUGGUGUUUUAAGCCACUAAUACUUGGGCUGAUUUGUCACACAGCAAUAUAUAACCAUGUUUAGAUCACUUAGGAACUGUUGCCAUAUGCACUGGGAGAACAUCCUCAGUGUUUUUAUCCCUGGUUUGUGCUGGGAAAGGGGCAUCCUCACCCUCCCAGACUUCUGAGAUUGUGGAAUCUGCUGCCUAUUGUUGGACUAUGACCUUGAGCCCGCCAUUCCUGUUUUGUGCACUUGAACUAUGUUUCUUAUUGAGCUGUCAGCAUGUUGGAGUGUCACAGGUGGCGAAACACACAUUUGUCAGUUUAUGGCGACUGUCUCCUGCCCUAUAAGGUGGUGACUGUCUCCUGCCCUAUAAGGUGGCUUAGUGGAGAGCUAGCUCAUUAGGAGGAGACAAGGUCACUAGGUAUAGCUAUACCAAGACUAGAAGCUCCCUUGUCAGGUUGUCCCCACAUGUUCUCUACUUUCUCCUUCCAUUUCUUGAUAAAUAUUUCUGGAAGUAUGGAGAUACAGAUCUCACUUCUGCAGCACAUUCUAUGGAAUAUCCACUGUACAGAGCCAACCAUACUGUCUGUAAGAGUGCAAGGAAUUCUAGGCUUCUUGUUGCUUCCCUACUUCCAAAUUUUUCUCAACAAACCUCACUUGAGGCUUAUAGUAUCUGCUAUUUGAGAUGUCUUAUGGUGUUAUGUCUGUGCUUCUUACAACGCCAAGGUAUGGUCCUGCUGCAUAUUCUGAAAUUUAACCAGUCUAAGCUGGACUAAUAGUGACUGAAUAGCGGUCUCCUUCAAUGUUAGUUAUAAGAAUACUUUAUCAAAGAUAUCUUCCUGAAUUCCUAGCUCUGUGUCUAGUAUUUCAUUGAUAGAGAUUUAUCCAGUCAAUAUUUUUAAAAAAUAUUUAUUUUUUAGUUGUAGUUGGACACCAUACCUUUAUUUCACCUAUUUAUUUUUAUGUG